rnacentral:lncRNA from 1 species
GUCCUGAGUCAGGGUGCUGAGAUAGGCCAGUGGCUUUAGUGUUCCUGGACCCAUUACUCACCAGAAUUCUCCCCUCACCUGAUUCUUUGAUGUGAACACAAUGUCUUGGGAAAGAUGUCUUAGAAAGCAUCUUUAGAAAACGUUAUUUUUUAAAAAACAACAACAUUUUUUCAUGUAGGUGCGUGUGCAAGGACAACUUGCAGAGUUGGCUCCGUCCUUCUACCAUGUCCAUUGGAGGAAUCACCUUUACCCUCUAGGCCACCUUGCCAUUCUCCGUGCAGAUAU